rnacentral:rRNA from 1 species
GACGAACGCUGGCGGCGUGCUUAACACAUGCAAGUCGAACGGAAAGGCCCUGCUCUUGUGGGUUGCUCGAGUGGCGAACGGGUGAGUAACACGUGAGUAACCUGCCCUUGACUUUGGGAUAACUUCAGGAAACUGGGGCUAAUACCGGAUAGGAGCUCCUGCUGCAUGUGGGGGGUUGGAAAGUUUCGGCGGUAGGGGCUUGACUCGCGGCUUAACCGCUUGUUGGUGGGGUAGUUGCUUACCAAGGCUUCGAAGGGUAGCCUGCAUGGGAGGGGUGCCAGCCACAAUGGGACUAAGGUAGGGCCCAGUAGCGAACGUGAGGCAGUAGGGGGAAACAUGACCCAGUGGGCGGAAGCGAGUGAUAGCAACGCUGGGUGCGGGAUGCCGGCCUACGGGUUGAGAACCGCUUUCGACUGUAACGAGGCGUGAGUGACGGUAAUUGAUAAAGAAGCACCGGCUAACUACGUG